rnacentral:rRNA from 1 species
CGGAGAAAGAGAGGUUCGCCUUUCUUUCUUAGUGGCGCACGGGUGAGUAAUGUAUAGCUAACCUGCCCCUUGGUGGGGGACAACAGUUGGAAACGACUGCUAAUACCCCAUACUCCUUCUUACUCUAAGGUAAGUCGGGAAAACUCCGGUGCCAAGGGAUGGGGCUGUAUCCUAUCAGCUUGUUGGUGAGGUAAUGGCUCACCAAGGCAAUGACGGGUAGCUGGUCUGAGAGGAUGAUCAGCCACACUGGAACUGAGACACGGUCCAGACUCCUACGGGAGGCAGCAGUGGGGAAUAUUGCACAAUGGACGAAAGUCUGAUGCAGCAACGCCGCGUGGAGGAUGACACAUUUCGGUGCGUAAACUCCUUUUAUAUAGGAAGAUAAUGACGGUACUAUAUGAAUAAGCACCGGCUAACUCCGUGCCA